CUUAAAAUCAAUUUCUAAUAGGCCGAUUUAACUGAAACUCUGUCUAGGAAUGAUCAACUCAUGGUCCUGACAAACUUACCUUAACAUUAUGCUUAACUUUUAUUUACUCAAAUUGGUAGGGAUGAUGGACAUCAAUAUCUCCACUUCAUAUUUCAACAACAAAACUAAAAACUAGGAUUCAGGUGACCGUGAAGGCCCUGGGGCCUCUUGUUCUAUUAUAGUAAUUAUACAUUGAGUAUGUCAUGUGUACACGUAUAUGAAGAUGUCACUGGAAUUUUGGGUAAAAAAAUAGGUUGUCUCAAAUCACUUUCUUCUGAUAAGGAGAUCUUGAAUUGUGUACAUCUAAUAUCAACGUCCAUUGAACUAUCACUUUGAAUGUUCAUGGAAGUUUUUCUGUACCUGUAUAUGAAUUCAGUGUAAAAUGCACAAAAAAUGUAUUUUUAAUAAAACUUAUAGCAUAAUACACGUUUGCAAUCAAAUAAACUACAUUGUGUUUACCAAACAGGAUAUAUUAUUUCAUCAGACAUUGAUUUUUUUUCCAGCUUGAUAUUAAAGAUUAGGUGUUUCUUGUAUGAAUUUCAUUUGUUGUAGAAUUAACAAAGUUAACUUCAAACUUCAGCAUGGACUAUAUUUUAUGUUUAUUAAUACGGCUUCAAUAUAAAAAAAUUAUAGCUAUAAACACAGUAUUCCAUAGUUGUCAAGCCCUGAUUUCAGAAGAAAAAAAUAGGCAGGUAUUAGUAAUAGUCUUAAAAUUAAAUGUCUGCAAAUGAAAAAAAAACUGCCAACGUCUUUAAUAGGUCACUUCCAAAUAAUGUACACAACUGUUGUCACUAUGGUUACAUGUAACUACAGACAGGAAUAAUGUACACAACUGUAGUCACUUUGGUUACAUGAAACUACAGACAGGAAUAAAGUACACAACUGUUGUCACUAUGGUUACAUGUAACUACAGACAGGAAUAAUGUACAAUGGUACGCCAAAUGAUCUUACUCGUUAAUCAAACAACGAUCAGAGGACUACGCCAGCUGAUGCGUUUUCCACAAUUUGUUUGUAAAAAAGUAAAGGUAUUCGACAGUAACUAGAGAUGGCUAUAUCUGUUACAAAAAAGUAAAGGUAUUCAACAGUAACUAGAGAUGGCUAUAUCUGUUACAAAAAAGGUAACUGAACUAUUUUGUGUUUAAUUGAACGAAGUGAAAAAUAUUUUGUGGUUGAUUGAACAAAGUGAAGCGUAAUGUUAUAAGCAGUGUGUAUGUUAAUAUAACUAGUGUAUACCACAUCUUGUGGUUUACAAAAAAAUCAUUUAUGUUUCUCAUAGUGAAUAAACAAUUUUGAUGAAAAUUCAUGACCUAAAAGAGCCGAUUAAAUAAAGUUAACCACCAAUGUUGAUAUGGAAACCUAACUUGGAACGGAGGAAUUAAUCCGUUUUUCUCGUAGUUAUGAUCAGUAAUUGACAGGAUCAUCAACUGGAAAGCUACUUCUUCAUUAGAAUCAAUUUAACUGGCGUGGAGCUAUUUAUGUAGCAAAAACUACUUCACAGAAAACUAAUUUAAUUUUGAAAUUUCAAGAAAUCGGGGCUUGGCACCUCAUGGACUUGUGCUGUCUGAAGAGAACUAUUUAUGUUGGUUACAGAAUAUCAAGGAUAUCUUUUGUUAAAGUGCAUUUUGAUUCUUUCUCAUUUGUUUAUUAUCAACGCUUCGUUAAUUAAAACUUCUGGUAAAUUUUAUACCUGUCAACUAUU